rnacentral:rRNA from 1 species
UGAGCAAUCUGCCCUUCUCUUCGGAAUAAGCGUUGGAAACGACGUCUAAUGCCGAAUACGACCUCCCUUCGCAUGAUCGGAGGUGGAAAGCUCCGGCGGAGAAGGAUGGGCCCGCGGCGCAUUAGCUAGUUUGUGAGGUAACGGCUCACCAAGGCGACGAUGCGUAGCCGACCUGAGAGGGUGAUCGGCCACAUUGGGACUGAGACACGGCCCAGACCUCCGUACGGGAGC